UGAGGAUCCUCUAACAUAAUAUCAUUAUCAUUACAGUUACUGGUAUGUAGAUCUCACCCUCCUAUUGCCCCACAUAUCAUUGUCUAUAUUUUUUUUAGGAAUGUCAGUACCUAUAAUGGUAGUGACAUUAUGGUAGAGGAUGUGAA
rnacentral:pre_miRNA from 1 species